rnacentral:rRNA from 1 species
AGUGAACGCUGGCGGUAGGCCUAACACAUGCAAGUCGAACGGCAGCACAGUAAGAGCUUGCUCUUACGGGUGGCGAGUGGCGGACGGGUGAGGAAUACAUCGGAAUCUACUUUUUCGUGGGGGAUAACGUAGGGAAACUUACGCUAAUACCGCAUACGACCUACGGGUGAAAGCAGGGGAUCUUCGGACCUUGCGCGAUUGAAUGAGCCGAUGUCGGAUUAGCUAGUUGGCGGGGUAAAGGCCCACCAAGGCGACGAUCCGUAGCUGGUCUGAGAGGAUGAUAGGCCACACUGGAACUGAGACACGGUCAAGACUCCUACGGGAGGCAGCAGUGGGGAAUAUUGGACAAUGGGCGCAAGCCUGAUCCAGCCAUACCGCGUGGGUGAAGAAGGCCUUCGGGUUGUAAAGCCCUUUUGUUGGGAAAGAAAAGCAGCAGGUUAAUACCCCGCUGUUCUGACGGUACCCAAAGAAUAAGCACCGGCUAACUUCGUG